rnacentral:sRNA from 1 species
ACACGGGAAAGGAGGUGGUCCGAAGAAUGAGUUCUUCCAGGACGCGUGAGGUGGCUGCCCGCUAGCAGCCCCGCAGUUCCGACGGGCUGCGCGCGAAACCAACGCAGCCACCCGACCCGCAGGUGAAACCGGGAUCGUCCCCCGGCCCGGUCCGAGGACCGCACCUGCGGGUCGCUGCGU